rnacentral:lncRNA from 1 species
AUGAGUCCGGUUGUCGUCCUGAAGUCUGUAGUUUUACCAGCAGGUGGUUUUCGGUGUGAUCUUUGCCAUCAGGCCUCAAAGGAUGUAACAGAAUUUAUAAACCACUACCAACUGCACCAUGUACAGCCGCCUUCCAUCACAGAUGAGGCACCUGAGACAGCUGAAGCCACAGGAAACGGCGAGGAACCUUUGACGGCAAGUGAGACACCUGCAACAGGUGAAGCAACGAUAGUUGGGGAGGCACCUGCGGUAGAGGCCCGGUGUGUUCCCGUAGAUCAGCCAUCGUUUCCGUGUAACAUGUGCGAUCGCUCGUUCACCACGAGUCAGAACCUGAAGCGUCACAAACUGCUGCACGUCAAAGAUGGUAGAAAGUGCGCCAAAUGUGGCGCUCUUUUCUGCCGACGCCACAGACACAUUCUCUUCCAGCCCCGGGUCGAGCCUAUGAAGGAGCCUGAGAAGGAUUCCAUUUCUGAAGAGAAGAAGGAGGAGGUGGAAGAGGUGGUGGUGAAAAAGGAGGAACCUUUAGAGCCCAGCGCAAUCACUGUAAACAACCAACCAAUCAAGGUGGAGCCGAUAGAAGCUGCAGAAAAAAUCAACAAGCCUCAGAUCUUACCGUUAGCUCAGCUUCAGCGCCAUAUUCCUGUCAUUUGUGUUUUGCCUUUACCCCGAAUUCAGCAAAUUGCGCCAAAGCCCCUCCCCCUGUCCCUGCCCGGCCACAUCCAAACACCUGUGACAUCAGCAAACCUCCCCGCCAUCCCACCUCCUCCAACAAGCUCGAGUAACUCCAUGGUGCCAACACUUAACCCCAAUAGUCUCCCUGGCGUGCAUCCACGACUGCCCCCCUCCCUGGAGCUCUUCUCGCCUCAGCGCCUCACCUCCUCGCUGCUUGAAGUCAAAAGAAAUUAUGACUAUAUUCUGAGCAAACCAAAAAAGCAACAGGAAUUUGUGGUGCAGAAACGCGUGGAGCCUGUCCUUUUUCUCUCCGAGUCAGAAGCAGGUCUGUCAAGUCAAAAGAGAAAAAGUGGCUUAUGA